rnacentral:rRNA from 1 species
UACGGAGGGUGCAAGCGUUAUCCGGAAUCACUGGGUUUAAAGGGUGCGUAGGCGGUUAUGUAAGUCAGUUGUGAAAUCUCUUGGCUUAACCAAUGAAAUUGCGAUUGAUACUGUGUAACUUGAAAGAGGUUGAGGUCAGCGGAAUGUGGCAUGUAGCGGUGAAAUGCAUAGAUAUGCCAUAGAACACCGAUUGCGAAGGCAGCUGGCUGGGCCUGAUUUGACGCUGAGGCACGAAAGCGUGGGGAGCAAACAGG